GACGAACCGUGCGAACGUUAUUCGGAAUCACUGGGCUUAAAGGGCGCGUAGGCGGGCCAUCAAGUCAGAGGUGAAAGCCCCCGGCUUAACCGGGGAAGUGCCUUUGAUACUGAUGGCCUCGAGGGGGAUAGGGGCGUGGCGGAACUUCCGGUGGAGCGGUGAAAUGCGUAGAUAUACGGAAGGAACACCGGUGGCGAAAGCGGCGCGCUGGAUCCCUUCUGACGCUGAGGCGCGAAAGCCAGGGGAGCGAACGGG
rnacentral:rRNA from 1 species